rnacentral:rRNA from 1 species
UACGGAGGGUGCAAGCGUUAAUCGGAAUUACUGGGCGUAAAGCGUGCGCAGGCGGUUUGUUAAGUCUGCUGUGAAAUCCCCGAGCUCAACUUGGGAAUUGCAGUGGAUACUGGCAAGCUGGAGUACGGUAGAGGAAGGUGGAAUUCCCGGUGUAGCAGUGAAAUGCGUAGAGAUCGGGAGGAACACCAGUGGCUAAGGCGGCCUUCUGGACCAGUACUGACGCUCAUGCACGAAAGCGUGGGGAGCAAACAGG